AGAAUCAACGCUGGCGGCGUGCCUAACACAUGCAAGUCGAACGAGAAAGUGGGAGCAAUCCCACGAGUAAAGUGGCGCACGGGUGAGUAACACGUGACUAACCUACCCUUGAGUGGGGGAUAACCUAGGGAAACCUGGGCUAAUACCGCAUAAUACCUACGGGUCAAAGGAGCAAUUCGCUUUAGGAGGGGGUCGCGGCAGAUUAGUUAGUUGGCGGGGUAAUGGCCCACCAAGACAGUGAUCUGUAUCCGGCCUGAGAGGGCGCACGGACACACUGGAACUGAAACACGGUCCAGACUCCUACGGGAGGCAGCAGUGGGGAAUUUUGCGCAAUGGGGGAACCCUGACGCAGCAACGCCGCGUGGAGGAUGAAGCCCCGUUGGGGCCGUUAAACUCCUUUCGAUCGGGAAGAUAAUGACGGUACCGGAAGAAGAACGCCCGGCUAACUUCGCGCCAGCAGCCGC
rnacentral:rRNA from 1 species